UACGUAGGUGGCAAGCGUUAUCCGGAAUUAUUGGGCGUAAAGCGCGCGUAGGCGGUUUUUUAAGUCUGAUGUGAAAGCCCACGGCUCAACCGUGGAGGGUCAUUGGAAACUGGAAAACUUGAGUGCAGAAGAGGAAAGUGGAAUUCCAUGUGUAGCGGUGAAAUGCGCAGAGAUAUGGAGGAACACCAGUGGCGAAGGCGACUUUCUGGUCUGUAACUGACGCUGAUGUGCGAAAGCGUGG
rnacentral:rRNA from 1 species